UCCCACCUGCCCUGUGACUAAAAGUUUAACGGCCGCGGUAUCCUAACCGUGCGAAGGUAGCGCAAUCAAUUGCCUUUUAAAUGAAGGCCUGUAUGAAUGGUAUAACGAGGGUUUAACUGUCUCUUUUUUCCAGUCAGUUAAAUUGAUCUGCCCGUGCAGAAGCGGGCAUAAAACUACAAGACGAGAAGACCCUAUGGAGCUUUAGACACUAACCAAUUUACGAAAAGCAAUGAAAAACAUUAUAAACACCCGUAAAACUGGCACAACUGUCUUAGGUUGGGGCGACCGCGGGAGAAAAAAAAGCUCCCAAGCAGACAGGGCCACCCUGAAACUAAGAGUCACAACUCUAAGUCACAAAAAUUUUGACUGAAAUGAUCCGGCCAUGGCCGAUUGACGAACCAAGUUACCCUAGGGAUAACAGCGCAAUCCCCUCCCAGAGUCCAUAUCGACAAGGGGGUUUACGACCUCGAUGUUGGAUCAGGACAUCCUAAUAGUGCAGCCGCUAUUAAGGGUUCGUUUGUUCAACGAUUAAAGUCCUACAUGAUCUG
rnacentral:rRNA from 1 species